rnacentral:lncRNA from 15 species
AUGUCUGUUUUUGGACCCAUAAAUACAUUUGAACUGCAGCUAGACAGGAUAGCUAGAGCAGCUCCUAAGCCAUCUGUUAUGAUACUUGAUAAAACAGAGGAUGGAGUGCUGCUGCAGUGUGAGGUUGAAGGUGCUUCUCCACAACCUAAAGUAGAGUGGAAGGACAGUGCUGGAAACAUCCUUCCUGCUAAAGAACCACAGGUCACAGAAAGAGGAGGAAGCUACGACGUUACUCUUCAAGCUACUGUAACCAAGACCGACCGCUAUCGCUGUGUUGUCACGCAGGAGGAAAUCAACCAUCAGGCUUAUGCUGAGACAUAUGCUGGGCUUCUUAAUGGUGAGAUUCUUCCUAGUCAUAGUUUCAUAUUCAAAUUAUUUUCUUUUUGUGUUAUUUAUUUUCAGAAGAAACGUUAA